CCUACGGGAGGCAGCAGUGAGGAAUAUUGGUCAAUGGGCGCAAGGCUGAACCAGCCAAGUAGCGUGAAGGAUGACUGCCCUACGGGUUGUAAACCUCUUUUAUGAAGGAAUAAAGUGAUGCACGUGUGCCUUUUUGUAUGUACCUUAUGAAUAAGGAUCGGCUAACUCCGUGCCAGCAGCCGCGGUAAUACGGAGGAUCCGAGCGUUAUCCGGAUUUAUUGGGUUUAAAGGGAGCGUAGGUGGGUUGUUAAGUCAGUUGUGAAAGUUUGCGGCUCAACCGUAAAAGUGCAGUGGAUACUGGAAGUCUUGAGUGCAGUUGAGGCAGGCGGAAUUCGUGGUGUAGCGGUGAAAUGCUUAGAUAUCACGAAGAACUCCGAUUGCGAAGGCAGCUUACCAAACCGCCACUGACGCUGAUGCUCGAAAGCGUGGGUAUCGAACAGGAUUAGAUACCCUAGUAGUC
rnacentral:rRNA from 1 species